AAGGCCAAGUUCGGCCUGGCCAGCCAGGGUUCACGCUAGACAACGUCAACGAUUUAUUUGGGGUCGCCGUCAUCGAAAACGAUGAGGAGGAGGAGGACUAUACUUACUAACGAUGACACGGCACCGCCGCGUAAAACAAACCUAUGCCGAAAAUCAUAGUUUCAAGUAUUUUGAAGUAGCAAAGCGACGAAAUCACGGAGUGAGCCACGCCUGCCUUCACGGUUUAAAUGCUUAACCCCGGGUUAGUGGGAUGGUGCAAGUGGCUCUAAUCCUCCCUUCCAGUUCCAGUUAUACUUUUAAAAUCUGUAUUUAUAUACCCAUACAAUAUUCAUUUUUUGCAGAUAGUUUCAAGUAUUUUGAAUGCUGUAGCCAGAAGACUGCCAGACAAAUGUGGAUUAAUAAGGUUGUGGAGAUAAAAAAAAAUACAUCCACACUACAGCAUCCGAAAUCUCAAAAUCAUUUGCUUCUAUAUCGAAGAGCUCUCUGGAUUUUUUUGAUGACUUUCCGGUCACUUAUCUUGACAUAAAUGCUGAAGGAAUUAAUUAUGUCACUUUAAAAGGAGACGAAGAGCAGGACGGUAUUAUGAAACAAAGUUAAACAUCACGGCCCGAAGACCACCCAAAUGAUGAAAAUGUAUUAACUAGGUUCAGUUCUUUUCAAAUUUGUAUUAAGGGGAGAAAAUCCAAAAUUAAAAUUCAGAUAAAAACUUUAAUGUUUUAAGAAAUUGUAAGUCAUUUCAAGUUUUAGACAUUUUGAAACAAAAAAAUGUUUUGAGAAGAGUGUGUUUGACAGAUGGUAAAGCUGCGGUUUCUUCUGGGAUGUGGGGAUGCAUAGCGAGGAAUGUGUUUGUAAGAACCAAUACAAAUUGUCCUCCAGGACUGCGCUGAGUGAGGAUAGGUAAUUGAAGUAAUUCUAAUAUUCACUCUAAAGAAACAAAUCUACCUCUCUACGCAUCCUUGCACAUCUCUGAUGGAAUCAUGGUCCUUGCUAAUCUUUGGUGGAAUACCUCAUAGCCUUAUUAUACUUGGUUUUGUGAAAGGCUAACUUUAUAUGAUAUACUUAGUUUAAUUCGUUUAUUUAUAUGUAUUUAAUUGCAAAAGACUGAUUGUUGUAGUAAAUUGUACUAUUUUUAUAUAAGAUAUA